rnacentral:rRNA from 1 species
AUUGAACGCUGGCGGCAGGCUUAACACAUGCAAGUCGAACGAGUGGCGGACGGGUGAGUAAUGUCUGGGAAACUGCCUGCUGGCGGGGGAUAACUACUGGUAACGGUAGCUAAUACCGCAUACCAUCGGAUGUGCCCAGAUGGGAUUAGCUAGUAGGUGGGGUAAAGGCUCACCUAGGCGACGAUGCCGAGCUGGUCUGAGCGGAUGACCAGCCACACUGGAACAGAGACACGGUCCAGACGCCUACGAGAGGCAGCGGGGGAGAAGAUUGCACAAUGGGCGCAAGCGUGAUGCAGCCAUGCCGCGUGUAUGAAGAAGGCCUUCGGGUUGUAAAGUACUUUCAGCGGGGAGGCGUUACCCGCAGAAGAAGCACCGGCUAACUCCGUGCCAGCAGCCGCGGUAAUUC